rnacentral:rRNA from 1 species
UACAGAGGAGCCAAGCGUUGUCCGGAUUGACUGGGCGUAAAGCGCACGCAGGCGGUUGCGCGCGUGGGGGGUGAAAUCUGGCCGCUUAACGGCCAGGCGCCAUCCCAUACGGCGCGACUGGAGUGAUGCAGAGGUCGAUGGAAUUGCCGGUGUAGUGGUGAAAUGCGUAGAGAUCAGGAAGAACAUCGGUGGCGAAGGCGCUCUGCUGGACCAUAACUGACACUCAGGGACGAAAGCUAGGGGAGCGAAUGGG